rnacentral:lncRNA from 1 species
UCAGGGCUCAGGGCUCAGAAGGAAAGGCAGAGCCCAGUGAGGCCAGAGUUAGUGAGACAUCUGAAAGGUGUUCAGUGAAAAAAGUGCAUCCCCCUUUCAUUCUACCUGAUGAACCCUGUCCUGCACAGCUUCCUCCACCCUGAGGACUUCCCCAGACAUCCUCUCUAACAAGACUGAUGGUUCCAUUUCCUUCCUGCUCACACUGAGGCCUGUCCUGCCUUCUGGGAAAUGAAAAAUGCACCAAAAUCAGCCAGAGUAGCCACCCCUGCCAGGAUCCAUAAUGAGGCAAUGUCCCCGGGCCAACAGGAGAAUGAGCUUCCACUGUGUCCCAGACCAGGGCUCUUUCUCUCUGAGAGGCUGACUCAUGAAACAGGCCACCUGAAAGAGAUCAGUGACUCCUCCAUCCAUUCUUACAAUCACCUGACAGGUUCUUGCCCUCUGCACAGGCAAAGCCAAUUUAUUGUGAAGGUGAUGUGUAGUAAAGAAUAGUUUUACUUAGCCCAAGGCUGCCAAACAGGAGGACAGAAGUUUAUCAUGACUCAAAUCAGCUUCCCCAAUGGCUCAGAGGUUAGAUUUUUUCAAAAACUUUGAAGGGGCAAAGGUCUAAGGAAUAAGUACUGUUGACUGGCUGGAGAUGAAAUGAUGCAGGUAGGAAAAUGGUAUGUAUUUGUUGAAUCUGCCUCUGAGUGGGGACUACAUGACUGGUUGAGCCAUUGGUCAUGAGUCUAGAUGAGGUCAGCUGGUUGCCAGAAUGCAAAAGUCUGAGAAACAUCUCAAAAGAUAAAUCUCAGAUUCUACAGUAGUCUUGCUAUCUAUAGGAGCAACUAGGAAAGUCACAAAUCUUGUGACCUCUGGACACAUGACUCCUGAGCAGUAAGGGAUUAUAGAAACUAUGCCUGCAUUUUAGCAGAAUUUGGGCCCCUCCCAUAAUUCAUGGUCUUUUCUUAGAUUUACCAAGGUAGCCCCCGACAAGGAGGAGCUAAUUUUAGGGAGGGACUAUUAUCAUCCUUGCUUCAAAGUUAAACUAUAAAUUCCUCCCAUGCUUACCCUGGCCUAUGCCCAGGAAUCAGAGAAGAGAGCCAGUUUGAGGCUAGAGGUGAGAUGCGGGCAGCCAAGCUAGCUUCCUCUCUCCAUCAUAUGCUUUGCAAUGGUGGUUUCACUUUCUACAUGGACUCACCAGGGGGUCAGAGGCAGAAGGACAGAUCUGCAGUUUCCAAAGCCCACGGGCUCAUUUCACCCAUUUCACUCAUGACUCCCUCCUCAACCUGCUGUGGGGCUCAUAUCCUCCUGUCAUGCCCUAGAGACUUCGAAUUUCCAUCAGGCAU